AACGAACGCUGGCGGCAUGCCUAACACAUGCAAGUCGAACGGGACCUUCGGGUCUAGUGGCGCACGGGUGCGUAACGCGUGGGAACCUGCCCUUAGGUUCGGAAUAACUCCCCGAAAGGGGUGCUAAUACCGGAUAAUGUCUUCGGACCAAAGAUUUAUCGCCUUUGGAUGGGCCCGCGUUGGAUUAGCUAGUUGGUAGGGUAAAAGCCUACCAAGGCGACGAUCCGUAGCUGGUCUGAGAGGAUGAUCAGCCACACUGGGACUGAGACACGGCCCAGACUCCUACGGGAGGCAGCAGUGGGGAAUAUUGGACAAUGGGCGAAAGCCUGAUCCAGCAAUGCCGCGUGAGUGAUGAAGGCCUUAGGGUUGUAAAGCUCUUUUACCCGGGAUGAUAAUGACAGUACCGGGAGAAUAAGCUCCGGCUAACUCCGUG
rnacentral:rRNA from 1 species